GAUAUCGUGUCACGUGUUAAAUCGCGUGCCAGCAUAAUUCAAAUAAAUAUCCAAAGAUGUUUGCAAUUUUUUUAGUAAAAAUGUUGCUCCUUUUGAUGAUCAUUGUAGUAGGCCAUGUGUUGGCACAGCACCCUGAAACGGGUCACAACAUUUUGUUAAAGCAACUCGAUUUAGUAAAAUUGUUUCGUGGCAUGAAUUUAAUGACUUCGGUCAUUAGAGAUUUCGAGAAUACUGAGAAAAGGUUAGCGCAAGUGGCUAUGAAAAGGUCUAGUAAUCCACUAAACACUUAUCGGGGAUUAAGGGAAAGUUAGAGUUGUUUGGUGGUUGAAAUUCCGACGUUUAAUCCUCUUUUCACUUAUUAGGGAUUAAGGAAAAGUUAUAGUUGUUUGGUGGUUAAAAUUCCGACGUUUAAUCCUUUUGUUAUUUAUUUAGAAAACUGUGUGAAUAAUUUAAGAAAUAUGAGGUAUAGAUAGAUUGUCGAUAUGAAAUGAAUAAAAAUUGUUGAAUAAAUGAUGUAAAAAGGUUGGUAAUUACCGAGGUCUUUACCAUUUUGAAUGUUUGAAUUGUAAUUUAAAUAAAAUUUUACGAUUUGCAA